CCUCAUUCCAAAUAUAACCCCCCCCCAAAAAAAAAUAUAAGCUCCCCCUGAAUAUAAGUCCCUUGAAUAUAAGCCCAGUAUCCCACUAUGUUAUUCAACAUUGACAUUGUCUUUUAAUAUAGCAGAGAACAAUAUUUGAAACACUGUCAUUGUCUUUAUAGCUUACAAUGUUAAUCGAAGUGUGUUAUAUAUUAAUACAAUUUUAUUUUCCUGUUUAUGACUGACUUGUUUAUUACUAACACAAUUGAU